AGCGAACGUUAGCGGCGGGCCUAACACAUGCAAGUCGAGCGAGAAAGUGGCUUCGGCCAUCAGUAAAGCGGCGGACGGGUGAGUAACACGUAGGUAAUCUUCCCUUGAGCGGGGGACAACGAGCCGAAAGGCUCGCUAAUACCGCAUACGUUUCCAGAGGCCCCGGCCUUUGGAAGGAAAGCCAGGCAGCAACGUCCGGCACUCGAGGAGGAGCCUGCGUCGCAUCAGCUAGUUGGGGGGGGAACGGCCUACCAAGGCGAAGACGCGUAGCUGGUCUGAGGGGAUGAUCAGCCACACUGGGACUGAGACACGGCCCAGACUCCUACGGGAGGCAGCAGGGGGUAAUAUUGGACAAUGGGCGCAAGCCUGAUCCAGCCACGCCGCGUGAGUGAUGAAGGCCUUCGGGUCGUAAAGCUCUGUGGGGAGGGACGAACCGCUGCAGGUUCAUAGCCUGCAGCAUGACGGUACCUCCUUAGCAAGCACCGGCUAACUUCGUGCCAGCCGCCGCAGUAAUAC
rnacentral:rRNA from 1 species